rnacentral:misc_RNA from 1 species
ACACCUCAACUCUCAUGGCUUGCCCAUGAUGAGCUUGGACUAUGGGGGUCUUGCUGGCCUGCGGUCGGCUCCUCUCAAAUAAAUCAGCUUGCCAGUGUUUGGUGGCGUCACGGGUGUGAUAACUAUCUACGCUUGUGGUUUUCCACCAGGUAACCUUCAGCAGUGGAGGUUCGCUGGAGCUCAUAGACGUCUCUCCUCAGCGAGGACAACCCUUUGAAU